GACGAACGCUGGCGGCGUGCCUAAUACAUGCAAGUUGAGCGAUGAAGAUUGGUGCUUGCACCAAUUUGAAGAGCAGCGAACGGGUGAGUAACGCGUGGGGAAUCUGCCUUUGAGCGGGGGACAACAUUUGGAAACGAAUGCUAAUACCGCAUAACAACUUUAAACAUAAGUUUUAAGUUUGAAAGAUGCAAUUGCAUCACUCAAAGAUGAUCCCGCGUUGUAUUAGCUAGUUGGUGAGGUAAAGGCUCACCAAGGCGAUGAUACAUAGCCGACCUGAGAGGGUGAGCGGCCACAUUGGGACUGAGACACGGCCCAAACGCCUACGGGAGGCAGCAGUAGGGAAUCUUCGGCAAUGGACGAAAGUCUGACCGAGCAACGCCGCGGGAGUGAAGAAGGUUGUCGGAUCGUAAAACUCGGUUGGUAGAGAAGAACGUUGGUGAGAGUGGAAAGCUCAUCAAGUGACGGUAACUACCCAGAAAGGGACGGCUAACUACGUG
rnacentral:rRNA from 1 species